CUAACCAUCAAAGUUUUAAGGUUCAUGGAUGCAAGCUUAUAUUGGAUCUAAAAGAAAUUUUAUCAUAUCACAUAAUGGAUGUUUUUUGCUGGUGUUAGAGUGAAAUACAAAUACGCACACGUCACGUCCAGGUGAUCAUGAAGAAUUACCAUCAGAGGAAAUCUCAGAUAUAUUCUCCUGAUUGUGCAAGUUAUGCAAAGAAAAGAGCAACAUUUUAAUACAGAUGCUUAGAAAGAAAACACAUUACUGCAGUGGAGUUUGAGGAACCACAAAUUAUUAUUGUGCAGAGAUGGUGCAGUCCCGCGCCUUGCGGUAUUUUUUAGGAGUACACCGAUUCACCCCAUUGAUUGCAAUCCAAGGAGAAUGUGGUUGGAUGCCAUGCUACUAUCGACAUCAGAUUAACGUCUUGCGAUUCUGGAAUCGUCUGGUGACACUAGAAAACGACCGUCUGACGAAGAAGAUUUUCCUUUGGGAUCGGAAUCAAAAUAACAGAACAAAUUGGGCCUCAAAAACUAAAGUAUUAUUUGAUUCUCUGAAUAUGCCGUAUACGUACAAAAACUUAUCAACAUGCAGCAUAGAACUUGCCGAAAGACUCCUCUGUCAGAAAAUUAAAAGACAAUGGAUUGAAGAUUUACAAAAAAUUUCCAAACUAAGAACUUACCGUCUUUUUAAAAAUCAAUAUGAACUGGAGUAGUACGUCAGUAUGGAUUUACCGAAACCUGUCCGAUCAGUUAUGGCAAUGUUUCGUUGCGGUGUAUUACCACUUCGAAUUGAAACUGGACGUUAUAAAUCUGAGACACCCCAAGACAGAAUUUGCCAGUUUUGCGAAAAUAACGAAAUUGAAAAUGAAAAACAUUUUUUACUACACUGUAAAUUAUAUGAAAUUAAAGGGAUAGACUUCUUUCGUAAAAUAGGUUUUAAAAAUUUAUCAAAUUUGUCUUUAGAUGAUACAUUCUUUUCAGAUAUUUUAUGUAAAUUUCCCAGACAUUCUGCAAACUUUAUAUUCGAUGCUUUUAAAACUCGUCAGAAUUUCACAAAAAGAACAUUCUAAUAUAAUUUAUCUUCAUUUAUGUGCCUGUAUAUAUGUAUAUUGUUAACAUAUAAACAGUGACAUAUAGGUCCUUUGGGCCGAGUGUAAAA